CGAGUGGCGAACGGGUGAGUAACACGUGGGUGAUCUGCCCUGCACUCUGGGAUAAGCCUGGGAAACUGGGUCUAAUACCGGAUAGGACCAUGCUUUAGUGUGUGUGGUGGAAAGUUUUUUCGGUGUAGGAUGAGCCCGCGGCCUAUCAGCUUGUUGGUGGGGUAGUGGCUUACCAAGGCUUUGACGGGUAGCCGGCCUGAGAGGGUGAUCGGCCACAUUGGGACUGAGAUACGGCCCAG
rnacentral:rRNA from 1 species